GCCGACAGAAGCAAAAAUAGAUUCCAUUUUCUUCCAAAAUGGACCACAGCACGCAUGGUUGCUUGCGUUCCGAGCAGAAUUGGCAGCCACAAAUAGCUCUUCAUGAUCAUCAUCAGAUUCUCCUGUGAAAUCUAAAGAUCCACUAUUAACCAAUGGCCCAACACGAGCUAAAGACUUCCGCUCUUUCAACUUUUUUGAAGGAGGACGACCAGUUUUGCUUUUAUUCUUAUCAGAAGUGAGUUUCACACUCUGAAGUGGCUUUGUUGUUGGUAGAUUCUCUAAUUUGUCUCUCACAGUAUGAACAGCAGGCCUUGUUAAUGAUGAACCUCUUCCGCUCCUUCCUUGUCUCCUCACACCAUCCCCAAUCUCACUAGUACGUAAUUUAUUCUUCUGAGCAGGCAACAGAAAAGCACCAACUUUAUGGGGUGCAGUCAGAGCAACCUCACCAUUAUCUAUUCCUUUAUCUUUUGUUUUAUUCUC
rnacentral:misc_RNA from 1 species